UCCCUGGUGGCUCAGAUGAUAAAGCAUCUGCCUGCAAUGCAGAAGACCUGGGUUUGAUCCUUGGGUCGGGAA
rnacentral:tRNA from 1 species